rnacentral:rRNA from 1 species
AAGUAGUAAUAGGUUAUAAUUUAAACUAAUUUAAAAUGGCGGCAUUUUCAUUAAUUAGAGGAAUUUGUAUAUUAAUCGACAACCCACGUUAAAUUUUACUUUAAAUUUAAAGUUCAUAUACCGUUGUUUAGACUAUAUAAAUAUAUACUAAAAUAAAUUCUAAAGAAGAUUUAAAAUAUCAAAUCAAGGUGUGGCCUAUAUUUGAGAUUAUAUGUAUUACAAUAUUAUUUAAAAUACAUACUUAUUAGAAAUAAAUAAAAAUUAUUAGGAUUUAAUAUUAAUUUUUCAAUUAUAAUUGAAAAAUGAAACUAUUUAAAAAUGUGU